GGGGCUGUAUUGGAAUUGACAUCAUGAUUAAUAUAUAAGUAAGCAUAUCGUGUAUAUGUAAUGUAAUCACGUAUUAAAAUUUCAUUACAAAUAUAUAAACGGCAAAAAAAAUUACGCUCUUGCUGCUUGAUACUAUUUAAAAUAAGAGUUUUUUGAUUUUCUUACAGAAAAAUAGGAAAGAUUGAGGUUCUAAAUCUUUCUAAGAAAGUUAGAAGAACUAGAUUCUAAGUAAUAGAUUCUUAUCUCUAAACUUAGAAUUAAUUUUAAUUUGAUAAGAUAAAUAUGUAGAAAACUUAUAAUAUUACCUGUUUGGACACGGGUUCGAAUCCCGUCAGCUCCAC
rnacentral:tmRNA from 1 species